rnacentral:rRNA from 1 species
UACGUAGGGGGCAAGCGUUGUCCGGAUUUACUGGGCGUAAAGAGCGUGUAGGCGGCCAAACAGGUCCGUUGUGAAAACUGGAGGCUUAACCUCCAGACGUCGACGGAAACCGUAUGGCUAGAGUCCGGAAGAGGAGAGUGGAAUUCCUGGUGUAGCGGUGAAAUGCGCAGAUAUCAGGAAGAACACCAAUGGCGAAGGCAGCUCUCUGGGACGGUGCUGACGCUGAGACGCGAAAGCGUGGGGAGCGAACAGG